GUGGGGAAUCUUGCGCAAUGGGCGAAAGCCUGACGCAGCGACGCCGCGUGUGGGAUGACGGUCUUCGGAUUGUAAACCACUGUCGGGAGGGACGAAGCUCUGACGGUACCUCCAAAGGAAGCACCGGCUAACUCUGUGCCAGCAGCCGCGGUAAUACAGAGGGUGCGAGCGUUGUCCGGAAUCACUGGGCGUAAAGGGCGCGUAGGCGGCUUGGUAAGGAGGGGGUGAAAUCCCGUGGCUCAACCGCGGGGCUGCCUUCUCGACUGCCUGGCUCGAGCACGGUAGAGGCUGGUGGAAUUCCCGGUGUAGCGGUGGAAUGCGUAGAGAUCGGGAGGAACAUCGGUGGCGAAGGCGGCCAGCUGGGCCGUUGCUGACGCUGAGGCGCGAAAGCGUGGGGAGCAAACAGGAUUAGAUACCCCAGUAGUCC
rnacentral:rRNA from 1 species